rnacentral:rRNA from 1 species
UACAGAAGGGGCAAGCGUUGUUCGGAAUUACUGGGCGUAAAGGGCGCGUAGGCGGCCUGCUAAGUCGAACGUGAAAUCCCUGGGCUCAACCCAGGAACUGCGUCCGAUACUGGUUGGCUUGAAUCCGGGAGAGGGAUGUGGAAUUCCAGGUGUAGCGGUGAAAUGCGUAGAUAUCUGGAGGAACACCGGUGGCGAAGGCGACAUCCUGGACCGGUAUUGACGCUGAGGCGCGAAAGCCAGGGGAGCAAACGGG